rnacentral:rRNA from 1 species
UACAGAGGUGGCAAGCGUUGUUCGGAUUUAUUGGGCGUAAAGGGUCCGUAGGCGGUUUGGAAAGUCAGAUGUGAAAGCCCACAGCUCAACUGUGGAACUGCAUUUGAAACUUCCAGACUAGAGUGUGAGAGGGGUUAAGGGAAUUCCCGGUGUAAGGGUGAAAUCUGCAGAGAUCGGGAGGAACACCAGUCGCGAAGGCGCUUAACUGGCUCACAACUGACGCUCAGGGACGAAAGCUAGGGUAGCAAACGGG